rnacentral:rRNA from 1 species
UACAGAGGUCUCGAGCGUUGUUCGGAUUCAUUGGGCGUAAAGGGUGCGUAGGUGGCGCUGUAAGUCGGGUGUGAAAUCCUGAGGCUUAACCUCGGAACUGCAUUCGAUACUGCGGCGCUUGAGGACUGGAGAGGAGACUGGAAUUCAUGGUGUAGCAGUGAAAUGCGUAGAUAUCUGGAGGAACACCGGUGGCGAAGGCGGCAUCCUGGACCGAGAUUGACGCUGAGGCGCGAAAGCCAGGGGAGCAAACGGG